GACGUAGGGCGCGAGCGUUGUCCGGAUUUAUUGGGCGUAAAGAGCUCGUAGGCGGCUCAUUGCGUCAACCGUGAAAACCAGCAGCUCAACUGUUGGCUUGCGGUUGAUACGGGUGGGCUGGAGUUCGGUAGGGGAGACUGGAAUUCCUGGUGUAGCGGUGAAAUUCGUAGAUAUCGGGAGGAACACCGGUGGCGAAGGCGGCGAUCUGGGUAGAUACUGACGCUGAGGUGCGAAAGCGUGGGGAGCAA
rnacentral:rRNA from 1 species